UGUAACAACUCUCAACGACGGAUAUCUCGACUCUCACAUCGAUGAAAAACAUAGCAAAAUGCGAUACUUUGUGUGAAUUGGAGAAUCCCAUGAACCAUCAAGUCUUUGAAUGCAAGUUAAGCAUGAAGCCUUCCUGUCAAGCGCACAUCUGCUGGAUGUCACAC
rnacentral:rRNA from 1 species